UAUAUCUCCCCCCCCCCCCCCCCCUUCCACUUCAUAAUCUCUGCCUCUCCCCCUGCUCCUGGAUUAGGAGAUUUCCCCCCUGCCUGCAAUCCUGAUGACUAUUUCUUAUUUAGUAAUCUCUAAUCCAGCCUACUUCCUAACAGCCCCUAACCCACCACUCUCUAACACACUCACUCACUCAGUCGAGUUAAGGCGGAAUCCAGAUUUUCAUACCGUUUCUGUACCAUACCGGGCUAUAUGGUACUACUGAACACAAUGGGAGGUGUUUUAUAUGGUAUUACUGAACACAAUGGGAGGUAUAGUGUUUUAUAUGGUACUACUGAACACAAUGGGAGGUGUUUUAUAUGGUAUUACUGAACACAAUGGGAGGUGUUUUAUAUGGUACUACUGAACACAAUGGGAGGUGUUUUAUAUGGUAUUACUGAACACAAUGGGAGGUGUUUUAUAUGGUAUUACUGAACACAAUGGGAGGUGUUUUAUAUGGUACUACUGAACACAAUGGGAGGUGUUUUAUAUGGUAUUACUGAACACAAUGGGAGGUAUAGUGUUUUAUAUGGUAUUACUGAACACAAUGGGAGGUGUUUUAUAUGGUACUACUGAACACAAUGGGAGGUGUUUUAUAUGGUACUACUGAACACAAUGGGAGGUGUUUUAUAUGGUAUUACUGAACACAAUGGGAGGUGUUUUAUAUGGUAUUACUGAACACAAUGGGAGGUGUUUUAUAUGGUACUACUGAACACAAUGGGAGGUAUAGUGUUUUAUAUGGUACUACUGAACACAAUGGGAGGUAUGGUGUUUUAUAUGGUAUUACUGAACACAAUGGGAGGUGUUUUAUAUGGUAUUACUGAACACAAUGGGAGGUAUAGUGUUUUAUAUGGUAUUACUGAACACAAUGGGAGGUGUUUUAUAUGGUACUACUGAACACAAUGGGAGGUAUAGUGUUUUAUAUGGUAUUACUGAACACAAUGGGAGGUGUUUUAUAUGGUAUUACUGAACACAAUGGGAGGUAUAGUGUUUUAUAUGGUAUUACUGAACACAAUGGGAGGUGUUUUAUAUGGUACUACUGAACACAAUGGGAGGUAUAGUGUUUUAUAUGGUACUACUGAACACAAUGGGAGGUAUAGUGUUUGUUUUACUCACAGAACAAUGUAGACAACAGGGAUCUCUGCCGUAACCAUGAAGCGUUAGCAAGUUAGCAAACCACAUGCAUAGCUGAAGCCCUGAGCUGGAAAUGAUUGACACGUGAUUUAAAUCCGGUAUGUAGCCUAACACACAUACGUGUACACAAGACAGUUAAAGCUGCAGUAUGGAACUUUUUUUGGGGGGGGGGGACCCCCUACCAAAUUCACAUAGAAAUAUGAGUUCUAGAUCUGUCACUCAUUUGAAAGCAAGUCUUAAACUCUGUUCUAUUUGCUCUACUUCUGUGGUUCCCUUUUCGUAACUUUAAUGGAGCGAUUCCUACACAUUGCACUUAAAAAAAAAUUGUCCGGGUAGCUAUUUGGUUAACUCUCUGCCCCCCCCCCAUUUUUUUGCACUAACUCUUGCCUCAUCACGUACGCUGCUGCUGCUACCUUUGGAUUUCUUGACCUUUUUUUCUUGUAAAGUAUAAUUUUUAAGAAUGUAACUAAAUCACAUCGUAGGAACCCUUUGUGGUUUAUCCCUUUCUUGAAGACCAGGUGAUGUGGGCUGGGGAACGAUAGUGCAGUAACAAUAUUAGAGUUCAUGCUAUGACAAUAUGGUGACAUUUGCCAACAGGUUUGAGGUUUCGAGUAUGUUGUUGUUGUUGUUGUUGUUGUUUGAGAAUUGAUCGGCUCGUAGUAGUUAACAUGCGCACGCCUCUGUAGCCUGUACAGGGUGAUACUGCCCUAAACAAGCAAAGAAAAUACAGUAACUGUUCAUAGUGUGGAACUGAGGAAAAAUAACUUGUAUAUACCUUGGUUUCGACAGUUACUGCUGACAUGACCUCCAUUUUCUCCAAAAUACAAUACAAUAGAGGCAGGAUACUUGUCCACAUGAUUAAGCAUGUAUUUAAUGUAGCAAAAAAAUGACUUGAGCAGUUCCUACCUUUUUGCUUGGUAGGGUAGGAUAGUGCAGGGGUAUUGAACUCUGAGCCUACGAGGUCCGGAGCCUGCUGUUUUUCACUUCUAGCUGGUAAUUAAUUGCACCCACUUGGUGUCCCAGGUCUAAAUUUAGUCCCCGGUUAGAGGGGAAGAAAACCUCUGAUGGGUUAAUCGUUUAUUGCUGUCAGAUAUGUUUACAUAUGAGCCUCUGUCAGUUUUGACUUUCAUCUGAAUCAUUUUCAUGUUCAGGUUUUUAUUGGCUGAUUUUAGUAUAUUGACACUGUCUCUCCUCUAACACCCUAAACCCUAACCCCUAAACCCCUAACCCCUAACACCCUAAACCCUUAUCACACAAUCUGGAUUAGGCAGGGAUUGUGUCUGUGUCUGACGAGACCACACACAUCCUUAUUCUUGGUUAACCCGAAGGA